ACAAUCCAUAGCUUGUUGUGAGAUACCCGGCCCGGUGGGAGGGACCUGGGCUGGGGGGACUGAUGGGGUAACCAAGGGGUGGGGAGCCAGGGAAGCUUCUGGAAAACACUCGCCUUGAUGUAAACUAAAAUAAUUGGUUCAAGGCUCCGCACAAAAGGAUCUUGUCUUUCCGGCGCUUUCGCCCACACGGGGAAGGAUGCCUCUGGAGGUGGUGGUGGAGCUCCAAAUCCGGGCGAUUUCUUGCCCGGGAGUGUUCCUGCCGGACAAGGAAGGUGUAUACCUUGGAGUCUACCUCCUGAAUCAGUACCUGGAGACAAACUGCUUUCCCUCUGUGUUCCCUAUUGCGAUUCAACAGAGCAUGAGAUUUGAAAAGACAUUUGAAAAUGCAAUAGAUCCUGGAGCUGUUGCAGAAAUUUUAGAAAGCUUCCUAACCAGGUUUGAAUUGAUACAGCUAGUGUCUCCAGUAUGGGAAGAGCUGGCCUACUAUGAAGAAAACACACGUGACUUUCUAUUCCCCGAGCCCAAGCUGACAUCCUCACACCUUGGCAUGCAUAGAGAGGUGCUCAUGAAGACAGCAAUAGGUUUUCCAGGCAUUGCUCCCAAACUAGAGUUUUCUACAAGGACAGCCAUCCGAGAAUGUGUGUUCCCGCAUAAAAACAGAUUUUUCGAAGAGAAGUGUAAAUCACAAAGGCUUUUAUCGAAAUCACGUGGGCAAAGAGCUCCCACAAAUAACAGAAAAACAAAGCCCAAGGAGAAAAGUCCUGACCGAUUUCCCAAAGGCACACAGUCCCGGGUAACCUCCCCAUCUCCCCCCAGACGUCUCUACCUGCACCAGCCGACUCAGCUGAACCUUGGGAAAAGCUUCAGGCUCCCUGGAGAAAGAAAGCCUCCGUUUGUGGUUAGACAUGUGGACAGUGGUAACCCCUUUGGUGAAAACAGUUUGACACGUUUACAGAAGUCCAGAAGAAAAUCUAAGUUUUUGGACUUUGCUUUUCCAAUGAGAAAAGCAUCUUCUCUUGACAGCCUUGCACCAAACAUCAAGGUUACCAGAGAACCAGAUGAGCGAAUUGUUUUAAGGAGCCAGCCACCGCCACCUUUAGAUCCAAGGAAGUCCAGAAAACCCUCACCUUGUCACCAAGGGGAUGCCGAUUUCCAACCAAAAACUCCAGUUUCCACCCCCCAGCAUUCCAGAUCUACCAGCCCUCUGGAUCAGCCUCUUCUCCAAGAAAGGUUCCAGCCUUGUUCUCAGUCCACGUGGAAGAAGAUCCAUGAGAGGGUUCGCAGCCUUCUGCCAUCCCACAGAGCUCACCCAAAGGAAAAUUUCAUCUCUGAAACAAAGUAUAUCAAUGAAAGACCAAGCUACCCCCUGAAGAAAUACCCACUGCGUGAACAGAGAUAUUUUUAACUACUAUUUCAUGUCUAUGAAGUGUUUGAAGAUUACCUAUUCAUCUGACCUAUGUAUCUGUAAAUCUGGAGAACCUAACUAACAUAACUGUAGAAAUGACAAGCAUGGGUGACUAUAAAACUGGGAACAUGAAUGAAGCCUGAAGAAGGAUGAAGGCCUCUGUCAUCGAGACAUUGACACAUCCUUGGAGAAGUGAACAGCAUUCUUUGUGGUCUGGGUUGAGUUACUGGUGCCUAGCCCCCAUUAAAUCAAACCUUAUACUCAGUCUUUUGUGCCCAAGGUAAGAAUUGUUGAUUAAAUUCUGUUUGGGGCUCUCA